GAAUUAGCCUGAAAUAAAGAAAAAAAUAACAAAAAGCCAAAACUAACACAUAAAAACCCUCCAGAACUUCACUGGAAUUGUUUUCCUUACAGAUGGUGCCUUCCAGGUGGUCUGUCACUGCGUGCUAACACAGGCACAGUCUGUGUGUGCUUCUCCUCUUGGAGCAGCAAGGUGCAGUCCCUUCUUAGGAGCCAGAAGGUACUUAGUACAUGACUUCAUAUUUACAUGGUAUACAUUUUAAUCCAUGCCUCAAUACUGCACAAACAUUUUCUUUCAUUAUGCACGAUGCCACAACUGAGUUCAUAAAGAAAUUAAUAAAAAUGAAAAACAAUUUAAAGUCUAAAUAAAAUUUUAACUGCCCAAGAUGACCAUGAAAAAAUGAGAUUUCUUCACAGUCUCUGCCUCUGCAUUAUUCAGGUAAGCACGAUGCCUGAGCAUCAGCAAAAGGGGUUUGGGUUUCUGUGGGUUUUCUUAGCUUUGACCUAGUAAAACUUCGUCAUUAUAGUAAGAAAUAAAUACAUAAAAAUAAUCAGAAAAGUUGCAUAUAACUGCAUAUAUACUUCUCCACUAAUGGCCAAGAGUUGAACAUAUUCUACAUCUCAGGAAUAAAGAGGAAAAUCCCCCUCAAUAUUUUAUACCCCAGGCAGCUUUUAUUUUCAACUUUUGAACUUCUUUUUCAUUGCUACCUCUGAGGAAAACCUUGCCUCAUAGCAAUGUAAGGUAAAAAGGGAAUGGCAGCUUGAAAAAGGAGAGGAUUGCCGCUUUUCAUCAUAAGUCUGCCAAGUUGACAGCCAGAAAACAUUACCAGCUAGAAAAAUAGUUCUUGGAGAGGUGUUUUGGUCUCCUUCACCCUGAGCACACAUGCAAGCAUUUUUUUAGAAUGUGUUUAUUUAUUUUGAUUUUUUAAUGUGUUGUACUUGUUUAAGUGAUAUCCAUGUAUUCAGUGUACAUCUUAAGAAAUAUUAUUUGUCUCUUCUGUCCUCCGGUCAUUUUUAUGAGUGAGCAGCUCAUGUCACAGACAUUCUUAAAAAGCAUGAAAUUUUCCAGAUGAAACCUCAAGCGAACUGUUCCCAUUAUGGUUCAGUAAAUGCCUCCCAGAUUCUUCCACACAGAGGAAACCUCAUUUCCUCCUUAGGAGUUUAUCACAUAGUUUGUUUGCAAAUGGUUGGUUUUUUUUAACCUACUAUUCAAAUCUUAUUCUGCAGGUAUAAUUCUUAAGCCAAAUAACUUCCUUAACUUCCUUACUAAUGAAAAUUACUUAAGGAAAAUUUUCAUUUUUUCAAGGGCAUCUAUAAAAAAAUUGUGUCUUUAUUUCACCAAGAGGAAAAUUCUGUACACAUGUACAAUACAGCAAAGGAAUAAAAACAGCCAAAUGCAAAACCAAACAAAAAUUAACAAAAACAAGAAAACAAGUCAGAAGGUAAGCAGCAUUUUAUCAGUAGUCUGAUAUGAUUGGGUUCCUUGGAGGAACACGUGCCUGAGUAGUUGUCUGAGUAAGGGAAACAACCUCUCUCAUAGCGUCAGCAUUUUCAGAUUCCACAGUGACCUGACUCACAUGAAGUUUUGGGUCUGGCAAAUCAGACUCAAAGUUUUAUGUUUAUAGGUCGUAUAAAGAAAUGAUAUUUCUCUAUUAUUUUAUCUUCUUGCAAAAACUUAUAAUUUAAUGAAAUGUGUGAGUCAAGAGAAGUUGUUGUCCCUUUUUUAUAAAAAAUUAAACUUUGGUGGUUAAACUUUGGUGCUUAAUUCUAGUAGAUAUUAGCUGUGCUCAACACAAAUUUCUCCCACAUCACUGUCCUUAAUCUCAACAAAGAUAAAACUCAACACAGAAUUUGCUGUUGCAUCAUGGAAGAUGAGCUGUCUAGCAAAUAUUACAGAGGGCUGCAUGCAUGCUGUAUACGUUUUGAGGAAGCACAUUCAAAAAAGAAAAAAAGGCUGAUUUUUCCUCUUAGUUUCAUUUGAAUAAUCAAACUCUGAAUUGGAGCACUUAAAUGGAAGUCAAGGCACUUGGAGUGUGAUGGAGGAAGCAGCAAUCAGUUUGAAAAGAUGUUGAAUCUCUGAUGAGCGUUGAAUAUGUCAGAUUAAGUUAUGUCCUAGAAAGGGAGGUUCCCUGAACAACUGCUAGUCACUUUAAAUUAUUCUGCAUUUCAAACAGGAAAUCAUCCAAUUAGACUAACAGCUGCAGAGAUUGGAAUAAGUCUUACAUAUUACAAAAUUAAAGAAAAUGCUGCUGAGUACUAUGGAAAGGAGCUAAGUUCUGCUUUGGCUUUCUUUGGCUGACAUCAGACUACUCCAUCUUCUCUUUUAAUAGUUAGAAGGCUACUUUCAAGGCCAGAAAGACCAUUUACUUCCACCUUGUCCUGGAUUCAAGAAAAAAGGUUUGUCUCAUAUGUUGAACUGAUGCACCUCUGCAAACAGGAGAAUAUCAGUGCUCUUACCGAAAGCAAACUUUUGUUCUGAGGGGUAAAAGGUACUGGAAGGCUGCAAUUAGUUCCCCUGAACAGACCUGCUAGCCCCUGUUAGCACUGCCUGUCUGCAGCAAGCAUGGAGAGGAGCACAAAAGAGGGCAUAACUGAGUGGUUCUUUCCACCUGGGACCAUUUACAAUGGAGGCUUUGAGUCAGAGAUGCUGUCUUUGAUCCCCAGUAAGAGUAGAGGUAUGUAGGAGUCCAGUGGAGCAUGGAGAGAGAGACAUUAGGAGACAUUCAUCCUAGUAAACUUUUAAUCUUAAAGAGACACAUAGGGCUUAAAUAUGUAUUUUUAUUGAGGCUGGGUGAGAGAAAAGUGUUUAAGAGGGUGAAUAUUAAAAAGCAACAUUUAUAAACUGCUAAAAUAACCACAGAAUGUUGUCUUGCCGACCUCAUUUUCUGCAAUGGCAGAAGCUCUGUUGCUAAGUAAUUAACAGAGCCAAAGAAAGAAAGAGGGGGGAAAAAAGAGAAUCCUAUUUCUAAAUUCUCUUUAAGUAGCACUUAUAUGGAUAUUAGAUGGCAGCAGAAAGAGUUAUAAUUGUUCUAAUAUAAUGUCACUCAGUCAAACUGAAGGGAGCACCAUGAAAGCAUUAUAUUGUGAAUUUCAGUCCAUAUGGCUUUAUCUCACAACACACAUCUCUAUUUUCCCCAGACUUUGUCUAAGAUUCACAUUUAUCUAAAGGAGAAAAUUACUUCCAUGCUCCAUGGUGACAUGGUAUUUAGACUUGAGCUCUGGUUAAGCCUGAGAACUCCUGAGUACCAGAUUUCCUGCUCAGGUCAGUGGAGAACCUCCUUUCAGCAUCACAGGGGGAUCCACUUCACCGCUUUGCAGGGCAAUUCAGUGAUGAACUCUGGGAUGAAAUUCAGCCACUUCUUUCCCAUUUUGGAUGCUCUGAGCAGUUUCUCCUAACAAACUGCUUUAAUUAGUAAGCAGAGACAAAACAGAAGCAGUCAGUCUUUGUGGCUGCCUGCAUUCAGAGAUAUAUUUUAAAAAUUAUCCUAAUAGCAAAACCAGCGUUUACUAUUGCAAAAGAAUAAGAUAUGCUCUCCAGUAUACAAAAGAUAUUUCAAUUCCAGCCUUGUUCAAGUCCUGCAUUGAAAGGCACCCAUCCAUCCUACUGUAAAAUUGAAUACAUUAUUUAUUAUUACUGUGGUGAAAUGUGAGAUCUUUAAUUUCAUCAGAGUUACUAGAUAACACAUAUUUGAUUACUUAAUGACCUUGUAUUUUCUGAGAAAAAAGUCUGUUGCUUAAAUGACAGAGAUGUAAUGGCCAGAAUUCAUUGUGGAUAACAGAGCUAUAGAAGAACUUACCAUAAAAUGUAUAGCUCAGAUUUCUCUGCUUUUUGGCAUUCAACAGUAACAUUUUUAAAAUAUAACUUAAAUAAAUAUCAGCAGUUAUUCACAAGAGAUGUAAUGUUAUUAAGGUUGAGAAAUCACACUUUUCUAUAUGUUUUCCUCCGACCUUGCACAGGAAAUAUGGAACAAAAAAGAUGUCAGUUAAAUUGCACUGUUCUCUCUCACUCAAAAGAAGUAGAGAUAUUAGCCAAUGCUAAAGCAUAAUGGAGAAGGAGAAGGAGAAGGAGAAGGAGAAGGAGAAGGAGAAGGAGAAGGAGAAGGAGAAGGAGAAGGAGAAGGAGAAGGAGAAGGAGAAGGAGAGGAGGAGGAAGAGGAGGAGGAAGAGGAGGAGGAAGAGGAGGAGGCUCAUCAAGAGGAAGAAGGAGAAGAAGAAGGAGGAGGAGUGAAACUGAAUUUGCAAUCAGAGUACCUUCCUUCUCCAGCCUCCCUUAAUUCCCUUAAGUAGUUUACCUGGUGGCAUUACAAUAAUCAGUUAUAUCAAUUUAUGUUAAAUAUAAAAUAUUUUUAAUUUUUUUCUCUUUUAGGAGCAGAUGACCUCCAAAAUAUUGGCUGUGCCAAACCUUACAAAUUCUGAAAAUCUCUUUAUGUCUAAUACAGAUUAUGCAACAUCAAUUAUGGAAAAUCAGAGCUUUACUGAUCAGUCCUCUAUUUACUUUUUAGAAGAAAAAAAAAGUCCCAUGUUCAUUUAUGCUUGUACAGAUCUUCCUCUUGAAGAACAAAGCACAUUAAAAUUCAGUGUUGUAAUGCUUCUUGCGUUCUAAGUAAAUGUCCUUAAGCACCAUGAGUGAUGGGGAACAAAGGGGUUUCAGAAGAUGCUCAGAGGUGCCAUUGCAAUCUCUGGGUAAUCCAGGGAGGAAAUUCAGAUCUACUCACAUUAUAUUUUUCUUGAAAGACCAAAAUUUAUGUCCAUUCCUACUUUCCUGCUCACCCAGCUUGCUCUUCCCUUCAGAAGCUGAAAACAAAGAGUAAAAAUUGAGACAGCCCUGCUGUCUAAUCAGUCAACCAUCCUUCAGUAGCUGACCAUGAAUGUCAACAGUUAAAGAAGCCUGUUCCAGGAGCAAUUAUUUAUAAAUCCCAUUACCCCGAACAAAAAUCUGACAUAGAGAAAGAAGAAAAAAAAAAUUAAAAAAAAAUUUUAAAAGUCUAGCUACUGAGUUUAGCACUAGCCCAGGCAAGAAAGCUGCCCAGUAUUUCCAGACAAGAAAGCUGUCCAGUAUUUCCAGUUGUAAAGACAGUUUGUGGUACAGACAAUACUUUUAAAUACAGUUAUAUAUGAAAAAAUGAUGCUUGUAUUUUGUAUGAGAAAAAUAAUGAAGUAACAAAGAUAAACUGAGAACCAAAGAGAAUGAAGGAAAUUUUAGGUGUAAGCAAUAUGCAAAGUUCAGGUUUUAUACUUUAUACUGAGAAAGUAAACAUCAGUAAAGAAAGGGACUGUUGUUCAGGGAAUACAUAGUAUUUCUUCAGUAUGAAAUCCAAAAAUGUGACCCUAUCAGCAACUAUCAAAGUACUAAAUUCAAAGCUGCAAGAUAUAGAAAUAUUUGUCCUUUCCAACCCCACACCAAAAUUUAUUGAAGUAAGUCCCUGCCAGCUUCUUCAUCUGUGGGCAAACAUUGCUUUUUCAAUAGGAACAACUUCAGACAGAAAAAGAAGACAUUUAUAAACCAUGCAAUAUAUGGUUAAUCCUACAGAAAUAACUGAAGGACCAAAUAUGAUUUCUUUACAUGAUCUGGUGUGUUUUUAUUUAUAGAUUCUUUUUGUUCAGUGUAAGUACAAUAGGAUCUCUUAUACCACUGGUUCUUGGGCACUCACUCACUUGCAUUGUUAUUCUAGCUGUAUGCUUUGAGCUUACUAUCUUUCAAUCCUGCAACCUGUUGAAAACAUAUUUAAGAUCUAUAGUUUAUUGUCUCAGAGAAAGAUUGUCAGUACUCAUUUGAAACCAUCUCUGAAAACAUUAUCAAGUACUGCUUUUCUUGAUACUGUGGGACAUAUCUCUAGGUGUCAAUCUGGCCCUAUCUGCUGCCUGUUGAUAAGCCAGAUACCACACACACCUUGUCACUAUGCCAGUAUUUGACACAAGCAAACUGAAGCUCAUCCUCUGGCUCUUACAGACUGUAGCGUGAAGUGCAGAGCAGAGAUAAUACUGGAAGGCAUUCUACAAAGUGUUAAGGUCAUGGAAUCUGAAUAAAUAUUAGCUCAGGCCCACUGGAAUUUCAUUUAAUAUUUUUAUAACUUCUUUCAUUUCUUUUCGGAUUUCAGACGUUCCUACACAUGUGAAUCAUGAAAUGUCAACUGAAAACAAAACUUAGUUUCUUGCAGGUUACAGACACAGAAAUACAUGACAAACUGGAAAUACAAGCAAGCAUUAAAGGGUAUAAAUUACCAGGUUUUAUCAAUUUAUUUAAAGCAUCAUACUUGAAAUUACAGCUGUGCUGGUACAGAGAGAUAUCUCAGACAACUUUUCCUUCCUUUGCUCUCCCCUGGAGAUCAGCAUUUUUCAGCAGAAGGUCAGGAAGGAAAAUGCAACCUUUAGCUUCCAUCUGGUUUUCAAUAAAGGGGAAAUGACAUCUGCCCUAAAUAUGAAGUAUGCUCCAAAAGAUAUUCUUUACAAAGUGAAGGGGUGACUCUAGCUUCUUCUUCCUUUAAUUUAACAGUGGGAUCUGGUGAUUAAAAGAAAUGUUGCAGGCUGAAGCUGGGAGAGAGAAAUGAAAACUCAGAAACAAAUGACAGUAGAAGCAGGUAUUUGACAUUUUGUUUUGGUCACUGAAGUUUAAUGUAAGAGUUUUCCCCUGCACUUUACCCUACAUUCCUCAUCAGAGAAAGGUCUGGAACAAAUUGGAAAGAGAUAAGAGAUAAUAAGUGCUUGGGCCUCUUAAGGACAUGGUUGUGGUCAUUGCACACAUUUCCUCUCCCCACUAAUCCAUUUCCAUCCUAGGCAGUCAUCUUUAACUGCUUGAUCCAUGAGAGGAAAUGUCUGAAAGAGAGAGUUACAGACAGCUACACACAAUUUAUGCAGUCAGUAGUGACUCCAUUUCCCCCAGAUAUCUCUCAUCUUUAUGUCACAGCCUGUUAUGAAUUAACCAGCAUGUGCUAACCAGAUCUCACCUCCACCAGGCUGGGAAUUAGCAUCUCCCUGUCGAAAACUCUUCCUUUCUGUGCUUAUCUCAAGUUCCUGCUGCUGUGGCUUCUCCAAAUUCCUUCUGUGGCCUUGACACUGUUUGAGGUGGGCAAUGGUGCUCUUUAGGUCCUAACAAUAGCUCCAGCCAAGAAGCAGCAAAGGUGAUUCCAGGGCAUCGUGCCUUUAUAGUUGGCCCUCAAAUGCACAGACAGGCAAACAUUUAGCACCAUUAAACAAAUGGAUAUUUAUGUGGAAUAAAAGCUAGCCCAAUAAAAAGUGCAGUGGAUAAAUCAGAGCACUAUAACAACAUGCUAAUUCCAAGGGUGUGAGUUACAAUAAGACACUGAGAUCUAUAGCAAAGAAAAAAGAAACAGCUAUAAUUCCUUCAAAAUUCAGUAGUAAACCCUUUACGUUAUCAGCUGUCUUGCAAUAAUAAAAAUGUUUUUAAAUUAAAGAGAAACUAUCUUUUUUUUCCUCACACAGGAAAAGGAAAUAUUUUUUUAAAAAAAUAGAAAAAUGUUCAACUGAGAAGAAAGCUGAUGACCUCAUAACCUCAUUUGCUCCUCUAGAAUUGCUGAUUUGAGUCUCCAUUGAGUCAAAAGGAGCGUGUCCAGGAAACUGUAUUUUCAUUCUACCAUUGCCUCUUUCCCACCAUUCUAAAAAAGUCCUACUCAAGGAUAGAUGUGUUUUAGCCUUGGCCUUCAUCCAAAAUAAAAUACUUCUUUCCAGGAAAAAUAAAAAUCUUAAGCAUCAACCUGAACAUUUUCACCUCCUCUCUACAAGACAAAUUUCUACAGGCAUAAUACAGCUUGGGGCAGAAGAUGUUCUAGCAGCUUGUCAGGAUUUUCUAGGAUGAGGCAGGGAGAGUCUGUGCAUCAGAUGGGAACUGCGAUAAAUAUAUAUGAGACUGAAGAAAGGGUAGAAGGGGGUAAGAAGGCAAAUCUCUUCCAGAGCAGAAGACAUUGACUUUUCAGGUUCUGUUGUACCUUUCAAUUACCACUGCUGAUGGAGAAAUUCCCUCCUUUCCUGGCCAAUUGAAGCUGAUUUUCUAGUUCUUAGUCCAGUUUAUUCAGAUUUUUCAUCAUUUAUAUCCAACUGUCCACAGCAGAGGUAGUUUUUAUCAUUACUCACAAAGGAUGGACCCUAGAGCUUCCUUUUCCGGGUUCUCUCUCCUUUUCAGUUUCUCUUAAUCUAUCCUCUUGGCAACCACAGACGUUCUUUUCUCCCCUACCUCACACUUCUUGCACACACACACAGCCCAGGGACACUGACAGUCUUUACUUGCUCUGCAAUGAGACAGCUCUUCAAUUUCCCCCAGCUGGCCCUCCCUCCAUCUGGCCACGGAGACUCAGAGCAGACCCCUGCCAGGCACACUGGUGCUGGGGCCUGAAAUCCUCUGUGUGAAGGAAUCUUCACACAUGUCCCACCAUAAACACAUCUCCCAAGGCAGAACUUAGUCUGUAAUGGUGUAGAUACAUAUAAUGCACCUCCAGUGUGUGUUGAGAAGUUCCCCUGGAAUCAAUAAAAGGAAUCAAUAAAAUUAUGGAAUCAAUAAAGGGAAGAUUGGAAGCAAACGGCCAGAUCUGCACAUUAGGUUUUAAUAUUCCUCACAUCAUAUAGAUUUUAUUUAGUAUCUUUUAUUUACAGCUAUAAAAUUUGUUUCUGGAGGACAGCAAAAUAAAGUACUGCUCCACAGACUUCUCUGUCUCUCACAUUAAGAGGACUGGAAUCCAAACAAACAUCUGCUGUGACAGGGAGACACAUUUCUCUGUCUUAACCACAACCUUGUCUGUAACUAUGGUCUCUCAAGCAUAAGCAGAUUGAGGCAAGAUUACUGCUCCAGAGUCCAAAAGGGAAAAAUCUUUAAAGGUGAGCAUGCAAUUUUACAUAUAACUUUUUUUCUGCAGACAUUACUGUUCAAAUAUAGAUAGCACCACCCAGAAUUGGGCAGAUAUUUUUUUGCCCAAAACCUUCUGGUUUGCAACUACAUCAAAUUUCAGUUGUACACAGAUCAUGUGUUAUUUGGAGAAAAAGAUUGAACUGGUAAUAAGAAACUAUUCACUUUAUUUACAAAUCCAUAAAUAUGUGAACUUUUCUCCAUUCCGUCCAUAUUUCAACUGGCAAGAUGGAAUAACAGUGUACCCUUUGGAGCCUUUCUUCACUCAAGUACACAUAAUCAUUACUGUCAGCCCAUCAAGCUCCAGGUGAAAAUAGAUUCUAUAUAAACUCUUUUAAGUCACAUUUGAUUAGACCCUUUUCUGUAUGAGUUUGACAUGUUUUAUUAUUUCUUAUCACAGCUUCUGUGGUGGACUUCCCCAGAAUAACUCCUGUACCAUAACUGACAAACGAAAUCUGACUUACAUUACAGAGAAUGAAAUGUUGAAAGUCUUCAACUGAAUAUGGUAAAUGAAAGGUGUGUAGGGUACAAUUCUCUUAUUUGAACAGAAGCUUUGUCUUCAGCAACACCAACCAAAACCAGGAGCACUUGCCAGGCAGGAAGGGGUAGAAAGUAACCUGUAUCCUGGGUGGAGGUGGGAUAGAGAAUCUAUGGCAAGAUAGAGGAAUGUGAUAACAGAAAGGAAUAUAACCAAUAAUAAAUAAGGAGAAAUGUAUAUGGAUUUCACCAGCUUUACCGUGCAGUUUUAAUUAAAAGAAAAAAUUAAUUAUAAAAAAUAAAACCAAUUAUAAAACCAUGGCUGAAACUUGUAAAUGUUUAUUUAAGAAUGUCAAUAAUCACAAAGCUUAUGAGACACAGCUGGAAGCUUUAUGGGCCUUCUCUGUUGGAAAUGGUUUUUGGAAAAUUAAUUGCUUGACAGAUUUUGCCUAUUUCCGUGGAUUUCUUGCCAUCUUUCCCUCUCCCCCCACAGUAUAUAAAUACAUAGAGGUAAAAGAUAUCUUGUAAUGCAUAACUAAAGCACUAUUUUUGAGCAGCAAACUUAUUUGUGACUUCUCUUUUACACUGUAAAAUGACCAGAAAAAAAGGUGUCUUUUUUUAUUUCAUUUUCCUCCUUCAGUGGCCUGAAUAAUCUUACUGUCUACCAACAGAUAAGUCAAAGGCAGAUUCUGCUGGCAUGUGAUCAAACACUGCUUCUUCUCAUUGCCACACAGGGAGUUGUUCAUUGUAAAUUUUAGAAGUUUCUCCUG